CUGGUGAGUAACGCGUGAGGAACCUGCCUUCCAGAGGGGGACAACAGUUGGAAACGACUGCUAAUACCGCAUGAUACGUUGGAGCCGCAUGACUCCGACGUCAAAGAUUUAUCGCUGGAAGAUGGCCUCGCGUCUGAUUAGCUAGUUGGUGAGGUAACGGCCCACCAAGGCGACGAUCAGUAGCCGGACUGAGAGGUUGGCCGGCCACAUUGGGACUGAGAUACGGCCCAGACUCCUACGGGAGGCAGCAG
rnacentral:rRNA from 1 species